rnacentral:rRNA from 1 species
GGAGGCCACUGCUAUUGGGAUUCGAUUAAGCCAUGCGAGUCGAGAGGGUUCGGCCCUCGGCAGACUGCUCAGUAACACGUGGAUAACCUAACCUUAGGUGGAAGAUAAUCUCGGGAAACUGAGAAUAAUACUCCAUAGAUCUAGGCUGCUGGAAUGCAUCUAGAUCAAAAGCUCCGGCGCCUAAGGAUGGGUCUGCGGACUAUCAGGUUGUAGUCAGGGUAAAGACCUGACUAGCCUACGACGGAUAUGGGUUGUGAGAGCAAUAGCCCAGAGACGAUAUCUGAGACACGAUAUCGGGCCCUACGGGGCGCAGCAGGCGCGAAAUCUUCACAAUGUGCGAAAGCACGAUGAGGGAAUCCCAAGUGCUAGCACGUAAGUGUUAGCUGUUUCUUAGUCUAAAAAACUGAGAGAGUAAGGGCUGGGUAAGACGGGUGCCAGCCGCCGCGGUAAUACCUGCAGCUCAAGUGGUGGCCGCUAUUAUUGGGCCUAAAACGUCCGUAGCCUGUUUAGUAAACGCUUGGGUAAAUUGUGUAGCUUAACUAUACGAAUACCGGGUAGACUGCUAAACUUGGGACCGGGAGAGGCUAGAGGUACUCCUAGGGUAGAGGUGAAAUUCUGUAAUCCUAGGGGGACCACCAGUGGCGAAGGCGUCUAGCUAGAACGGGUCUGACGGUGAGGGACGAAGCCCUGGGGCGCGAACCGGAUUAGAUACCCGGGUAGUCCAGGGUGUAAACGCUGCUUGCUUGAUGUUAGUUGGGCUCCGAGCCCAACUAGUGUCGGAGAGAAGUUGUUAAGCAAGCUGCCUGGGAAGUACGGUCGCAAGACUGAAACUNAA